rnacentral:rRNA from 1 species
UGGGGAAUAUUGCACAAUGGGCGCAAGCCUGAUGCAGCCAUGCCGCGUGUAUGAAGAAGGCCUUCGGGUUGUAAAGUACUUUCAGCGGGGAGGAAGGCGAUAAGGUUAAUAACCUUGUCGAUUGACGUUACCCGCAGAAGAAGCACCGGCUAACUCCGUGCCAGCAGCCGCGGUAAUACGGAGGGUGCAAGCGUUAAUCGGAAUUACUGGGCGUAAAGCGCACGCAGGCGGUCUGUCAAGUCGGAUGUGAAAUCCCCGGGCUCAACCUGGGAACUGCAUUCAAAACUGGCGGGCUAGAGUAUGGUAGAGGGGGGUAGAAUUCCAGGUGUAGCGGUGAAAUGCGUAGAGAUCUGGAGGAAUACCGGUGGCGAAGGCGGCCCCCUGGACAAAGACUGACGCUCAGGUGCGAAAGCGUGGGGAGCAAACA